rnacentral:rRNA from 1 species
CCUACGGGAGGCAGCAGUAGGGAAUAUUGCUCAAUGGGGGAAACCCUGAAGCAGCAACGCCGCGUGGAGGAUGAAGGUUUUCGGAUUGUAAACUCCUUUUGUUAGAGAAGAUAAUGACGGUAUCUAACGAAUAAGCACCGGCUAACUCCGUGCCAGCAACCGCGGUAAUACGGAGGGUGCAAGCGUUACUCGGAAUUACUGGGCGUAACGGGCGCGUAGGCGGGUUAGCAAGUCAGAUGUGAAAUCCUGUAGCUUAACUAGAGAACUGCAUUUGAAACUGGUACUCUGGAGUGUGGGAGAGGUAGGUGGAAUUCGUGGUGUAGGGGUGAAAUCCGUAGAGAGCAAGAGGAAUACUCAUGGCGAAGGCGACCUGCUGGAACAUUACUGACGCUGAUGCACGAAAGCGUGGGGAGCAAACAGGAUUAGAUACCCUGGUAGUC